AUUGAACGCUGGCGGCAGGCUUAACACAUGCAAGUCGAGCGGGGACCUCGGUCCUAGCGGCGAACGGGUGAGGAAUGCUUGGGAAUCUGCCCAGUAGCGGGGGAUAACGUUUCGAAAGGAACGCUAAUACCGCAUACGCCCUACGGGGGAAAGGGGGGGAUCUUCGGACCUCUCACUAUUGGAUGAGCCCAAGUCGGAUUAGCUAGUUGGUGGGGUAAAGGCCUACCAAGGCGACGAUCCGUAGCUGGUCUGAGAGGAUGAUCAGCCACACUGGAACUGAGACACGGUCCAGACUCCUACGGGAGGCAGCAGUGGGGAAUAUUGGACAAUGGGCGAAAGCCUGAUCCAGCCAUGCCGCGUGUGUGAAGAAGGCCUUCGGGUUGUAAAGCACUUUAAGCGAGGAGGAAUGGCUCUUGGUUAAUAACCUUGAGCAGUGACGUUACUCGCAGAAUAAGCACCGGCUAACUCUGUGCCAGCAGCCGCAGUAAGAC
rnacentral:rRNA from 1 species